CGUGUAGGUGGUUAUGCAAGUCGGGUGUGAAAGCCCUCGGCCCAACCGAGGAAGUGCACUCGAAACUACAUAGCUAGAGGACGAUAGAGGGAGGUGGAAUUCCUAGUGUAGAGGUGAAAUUCGUAGAGAUUAGGAGGAAUACCAGCGGCGAAGGCGGCCUUCUGGGUCGUUCCUGACACUGAGACGCGAAAGCGUGGGUAGCAAACAGGAUUAGAUACCCUGGUAGUCC
rnacentral:rRNA from 1 species